rfam:Triticum aestivum genome assembly, contig: Triticum_aestivum_CS42_TGACv1_scaffold_161571_2DL
CUUAUACUCCCUCCGUCCGGAAUUAUUUGUCGCAGAAAUGGAUAAAAAUGGAUGUAUGUAGAACUAAAAUACAUCUAGAUAUAUCAAUUUCUCCGACAAGUAAUUCUGGGCGGAGGGAGUAUCAA